rnacentral:rRNA from 1 species
AGAGCGAACGCUGGCGGCAGGCCUAACACAUGCAAGUCGAGCGCCCGUAGCAAUACGGGAGCGGCAGACGGGAUAGUAACACGUGGGAACGCGCCCUUCGGUUCGGAAUAACUCAGGGAAACUUGAGCUAAUACCGAAUACGCCCUUACGGGGAAAGAUUUAUUGCCGAAGGAACGGCCCGCGUCCGAUUAGCUAGUUGGUGAGGUAAUGGCUCACCAAGACGACGAUCGGUAGCUGGUCUGAGAGGAUGAUCAGCCUCACUGGGACUGAGACACGGCCCAGACUCCUACGGGAGGCAGCAGUGGGGAAUAUUGGACAAUGGGCGCAAGCCUGAUCCAGCCAUGCCGCGUGGGUGAUGAAGGCCCUAGGGUUGUAAAGCCCUUUCGGCGGGGAAGAUAAUGACGGUACCCGCAGAAGACGCCCGGCUAACUUCGUGCCAGCAGCCGC